UACGUAGGGGGCAAGCGUUGUCCGGAUUUAUUGGGCGUAAAGCGCGUGUAGGCGGCCAGGUAGGUCCGCUGUGAAAACUCGAGGCUCAACCUCGAGACGUCGGCGGAAACCAUCUGGCUAGAGUCCGGAAGAGGAGAGUGGAAUUCCUGGUGUAGCGGUGAAAUGCGCAGAUAUCAGGAAGAACACCAAUGGCGAAAGCAGCUCUCUGGGACGGUACUGACGCUGAGACGCGAAAGCGUGGGGAGCGAACAGG
rnacentral:rRNA from 1 species